rnacentral:rRNA from 1 species
UACGGAGGGGGCGAGCGUUAUUCGGAAUUAUUGGGCGUAAAGGGCGCGUAGGCGGCCCGGUAAGUCAAAGGUGAAAUCCCUCGGCUCAACUGAGGAACUGCCUUUGAAACUGUCGGGCUUGAGGCCGGGAGGGGGUAGCGGAAUUCCCAGUGUAGCGGUGAAAUGCGUAGAUACUGGGAGGAACACCAGUGGCGAAGGCGGCUACCUGGACCGGUUCUGACGCUGAUGCGCGAAAGCGUGGGGAGCAAAAGGG